rnacentral:piRNA from 1 species
AGAGGACACAUGAGUGUUAGGUUUUUGAA